GGGAUAUCAGCCUACAUUGACACAAGAAUCUAGGCAAGCACUCUUCCACUGAGCCACAACCCCAGCCCUUAACCAUUUUUAAGUGUACAAUUCAGUGUUAUUAAAUACAUGCAUAAUGUGCAAACAUCACCAUCUCCAGAACUUUUGAGUCUUGUAAAACUUGAAACUACACCAUUAAGCCAUACUCCCCAUUGCCCACUCUCCACCCUAACAACUGCCAUUCUGCUGUCUUAUGGUUUUGACUGUGCUAAGCAUCUCAUAUAAGUGAAAUUCUCAGUAUUUGUCUUUGACUGGCUUAUCUCACUUAGUGUAACAUUCCCAGCGUUCACACAGGUUGCCUCAUAUUACAGGAUUUCCUUCCUUUUUAAAGAUGAAUAAUAUUCCAUCAUUCAUACAUAAUUUACUACCAAUAAUUUCAUCUUGAGCAAUCUCAAGUUUGUCAAAUCUGUCCAUUUUCUUUUGAAGUUAGUCCUUAAAAUAUUUGUUGGGUUUCUGUACCUCCGCCCCAUCCCCACCCUGGCCUUCCUCUGCCCCCUGUGGGGUUGUACUGUAGCUCUUUUUUGUUUACUUCUCAGGGCAGCAGCAAGGAAAUGAUGAUAUCAGCAGACUGUGCGGAGUAUGCUGGAAGAAUGUCCUCAGCAGAAGGCGCCUGCUUCUUUCAGCAGAGCAACAGAGGGAGGGGUGCCCCCAGCAUGGCUUGCCAGCUGUCCCAUCAGUCCUCCCAGGUGCUCUGCUGGGGAGCUCCAGUCCUCCUCCCUCAUUACAGUCUUUCUCCCUACAUGUCCCCUCCUUCCUCGUUUCUUCUUUCCUUAAUCUUGAGUUUUAUUUUCCGUUCUGUAAGUCUCAAACCUGUGUGUCUGGGGAGCUACAUUGUGAGGACUGUGUCUAACCACAUUCAAGGAUCUAUCAGUGGGAUUGCACAGGUCAUUUGUGAAUAAAUGAAUUUGCAAAGUAACUGCGUUUUCUGUUAGUAUCAUCACUUAGUUUUAAUUUGGCUCCCUUAGUAUUGCCCUUACUCCUUCACCACAUAGCUGUAUCAUUCUUGCAGGACUUACAUAUUGGUGCCUGCACAGGUCGGGUUUUUCCCAAAAGGCCUUCUCUUUCUACUGGUGAUACUCAUUUUUUAUUUAAAUUGAGAAUUCACCUCACCUUACACUGUCAGGUGCCAUAUGGCAAUUUGUGCUCCUAGUGAUGGCACUGAGCCGUGAUGCAACCUAGGAGUUCAGUGUCCCUUCUCAGUCCUGUCUCUCCCCAGUGCUUCUCUUAUAAACCCUUGGGCAGCCUUGGCUGGGGAUUAAGAUGUCUUUUUUUGGGUAUCAAAAAU
rnacentral:lncRNA from 1 species